AGAUUGAACGCUGGCGGCAGGCCUAACACAUGCAAGUCGAGCGGUAGAGAGGUGCUUGCAUCUCUUGAGAGCGGCGGACGGGUGAGUAAUGCCUAGGAAUCUGCCUAGUGGUGGGGGAUAACGUUCGGAAACGGACGCUAAUACCGCGUACGUCCUACGGGAGAAAGCGGGGGACCUUCGGGCCUCGCGCCAUUAGAUGAGCCUAGGUCGGAUUAGCUAGUUGGUGAGGUAAUGGCUCACCAAGGCGACGAUCCGUAACUGGUCUGAGAGGAUGAUCAGUCACACUGGAACUGAGACACGGUCCAGACUCCUACGGGAGGCAGCAGUGGGGGAAUAUUGGACAAUGGGACGAAAGCCUGAUGCAGCGACGCCGCGUGAGGGAUGAAGGCCUU
rnacentral:rRNA from 1 species